rfam:Tolypothrix campylonemoides VB511288 scaffold_32, whole genome shotgun sequence.
GGUCAAGCGAAUAAGCGCACACGGUGGAUGCCUUGGCGGUCAGAGGCGAUGAAGGACGUGGCAGCCUGCGAAAAGCGUCGGGGAGCUGGCAACAAGCUUUGAUCCGGCGAUGUCCGAAUGGGGAAACCCACCCGCAAGGGUAUCGUGCAGUGAAUCCAUAGCUGCACGAGGCGAACCCGGGGAACUGAAAUAUCUAAGUACCCGGAGGAAAAGAAAUCAACCGAGAUUCCCUCAGUAGUGACGAGCGAACGGGGAGCAGCCCUUAAGUCGAGCUGGUUUUAGCAAAACGGUCUGGAAAGGCCGGCCAUAGACGGUGAUAGCCCGGUAUGCGAAAGGGCCAGUUCGAUGAAAACGAGUAAGGCGGGGCACGUGAAACCCUGUCUGAACAUGGGGGGACCAUCCUCCAAGGCUAAAUACUCCUGACCGACCGAUAGUGAACCAGUACCGUGAGGGAAAGGCGAAAAGAACCCUGGUGAAGGGAGUGAAAUAGACCCUGAAACCGUGUGCGUACAAGCAGUCGGAGCCCGCAAGGGUGACGGCGUACCUUUUGUAUAAUGGGUCAGCGACUUACUGUUCGUGGCGAGCUUAACCGUAUAGGGGAGGCGAAGGGAAACCGAGUCUGAAAAGGGCGCAUAGUCGCGGGCAGUAGACCCGAAACCGGGUGAUCUAGUCAUGCCCAGGGUGAAGGUCAGGUAACACUGACUGGAGGCCCGAACCCACAUCUGUUGCAAAAGAUGGGGAUGAGGUGUGAUUAGGAGUGAAAAGCUAAUCGAACCCGGAGAUAGCUGGUUCUCCUCGAAAGCUAUUUAGGUAGCGCCUCGUAUGUAUCCUCUCGGGGGUAGAGCACUGUUAUGGCUAGGGGGUCAUUGCGACUUACCAAACCAUGGCAAACUCCGAAUACCGAGACGGACUGUACGGGAGACACACGGCGGGUGCUAACGUCCGUCGUGAAAAGGGAAACAACCCAGACCCACAGCUAAGGUCCCCAAAUUACCGCUCAGUGGAAAACGAUGUGGGAAGGCACAGACAGCCAGGAGGUUGGCUUAGAAGCAGCCACCCUUUAAAGAAAGCGUAAUAGCUCACUGGUCGAGUCGGCCUGCGCGGAAGAUUUAACGGGGCUAAGCGGUAUACCGAAGCUUGGGGUGUCCCCGCAUGGGGACGCGGUAGAGGAGCGUUCCGUACGCCUGCGAAGGUGGAUCGAGAGGUCCGCUGGAGGUAUCGGAAGUGCGAAUGCUGACAUGAGUAACGAUAAGGAGGGUGAAAAGCCCUCCCGCCGAAAGCCCAAGGUUUCCUUGCGCAACGUUCAUCGGCGCAGGGUGAGUCGGCCCCUAAGGCGAGGCAGAAAUGCGUAGUCGAUGGGAAGCUGGUUAAUAUUCCAGCACCUCGCGCAAGUGCGAUGGAGGGACGGAGAAGGGUAGGUGUACCGGGCGUUGGUUGUCCCGGGGAAAGGCGGUAGGUGGGGGACUUAGGCAAAUCCGGGUCCCUGCAACACCGAGCACCGAGACGAGCCCCUAGGGCGAAGUCACUGAUCCCACGCUUCCAGGAAAAGCUCCUAAGCUUCAGCUUGCGCAGACCGUACCGUAAUCCGACACAGGUGGGCAGGAUGAGAAUUCUCAGGCGCUUGAGAGAACUCGGGUGAAGGAACUAGGCAACAUGGCACCGUAACUUCGGGAGAAGGUGCGCCCUUUCUGGUGGCCCAUGCGGGCUAGAGCUGGGAAGGGCCGCAGUGACCAGGCCGCUGCGACUGUUUAUCAAAAACACAGCACUCUGCAAACACGAAAGUGGACGUAUAGGGUGUGACGCCUGCCCGGUGCUGGAAGGUUAAGUGAUGGGGUCAGCCGCAAGGCGAAGCUCUUGAUCGAAGCCCCAGUAAACGGCGGCCGUAACUAUAACGGUCCUAAGGUAGCGAAAUUCCUUGUCGGGUAAGUUCCGACCUGCACGAAUGGCGUAACGACAGCGGCGCUGUCUCCACCCGAGACUCAGUGAAAUUGAAAUCGCUGUGAAGAUGCAGCGUUCCCGCGGCAAGACGGAAAGACCCCGUGAACCUUUACUACAGCUUUACACUGAACGUUGAGUUCGUCUGUGUAGGAUAGGUGGGAGCCUAUGAAACCCCGGCGCCAGCUGGGGUGGAGGCAACCUUGAAAUACCACCCUGAUGUGCUUGACGUUCUAACCUGGCUCCGUGAUCCGGAG